UACGUAGGUGGCAAGCGUUGUCCGGAUUUACUGGGCGUAAAGAGCGCGCAGGCGGUCGUUCAAGUCGCGUGUGAAAGCCCCCGGCUCAACUGGGGAGGGUCACGCGAUACUGAUCGACUCGAAGGCAGGAGAGGGAAGUGGAAUUCCCGGUGUAGUGGUGAAAUGCGUAGAUAUCGGGAGGAACACCGAUGGCGAAGGCAGCCCCCUGGGUCAAGAUUGACGCUCCAUGCACGAAAGCGUGGGGAGCAAACAGG
rnacentral:rRNA from 1 species